GAUUUCUGGUUUGGUGCGCCUGGCCCACUGCCUUCAGGUAUGUGAGUGCCGGUGCGCGCCUGCCAUCCCUUCUAGAGAACGGCUCUGCCCUUCACUGGUGUCGGAGUCGCGAUCUAGAUCUUUUACUUUGAAAAAAUUAGAGUGUUUAAAGCAGGCUUGCGCUAUGAAUACAUUAGCAUGGAAUAAUAAUAUAGGACUUUGGUUCUAUUUUGUUGGUUUCUAGGACUGAAGUAAUGAUUGAUAGGGAUAGUUGGGGGUGCUAGUAUUCAGUGGCCAGAGGUGAAAUUCUUGGAUUCACUGAAGACUAACUACUGCGAAAGCAUU
rnacentral:rRNA from 1 species